rnacentral:rRNA from 1 species
CAGCCGCCGCGGUAAUACGGAGGGUGCAAGCGUUAAUCGGAAUUACUGGGCGUAAAGCGUGCGCAGGCGGUUGUAUAAGACAGAUGUGAAAUCCCCGGGCUUAACCUGGGAACUGCAUUUGUGACUGUCUAGCUAGAGUAUGGCAGAGGGGGGUGGAAUUCGGCGUGUAGCAGUGAAAUGCGUAGAUAUGCGGAGGAACACCGAUGGCGAAGGCAGUCCCCUGGGCCAAUACUGACGCUCAUGCACGAAAGCGUGGGGAGCAAACAGGAUUAGAUACCCCAGUAGUCCCUGUCUCUUAUAC